AUUAGGACUUACAGUGAGGGACCUGAACAACUCCCCUCUUGUUCCUAGCAGCCUGCUCUAUGAAGCGAUCUCAGCCAGAGUCCAAGCCCCUGGGAGCGGAGCACCUAACGCGCUGGAAUGGGCAGGUUACUGAGCAUCAUCAGUCAGGCUUACAGCUGUUGAGGCUAAACCUGCUUUUAGGGUUUGCAUCCAGGAAGGUUUGCAGAACAGCCAGUGUGCUAAAGUAUCCUACCCUCUUCAUAAUGAAGUCCUUCAGCUGCACCACGCCCUGGCUCACAAUAGGCUGGAGUGGUUCCAUCCACGACUCUUUGGCCCUGGAGACCGGUGUGUCCAUAUUGCCUAUGUUUUGGACCGCCUAGGGGUGACAGCAAGAACAAUAGGGCUUUGGGGAGACAACAGCUGCCUACUUCAACCUAGAGAUGGAAGCUGAGGCCUUUCGAGGUCCCACAGGGGAACCAGGGAUGCAUGGAUCGUGGCAUUUUGAGUCUUUGGACACCUGGCCCACACCUUGGCCAGCAGAAGCAGCGUGCGGCUGGUGCGGGCAUCUGCAUGCCGCUCUCGCAGGUGGA
rnacentral:lncRNA from 1 species